rnacentral:lncRNA from 1 species
CGAGUGUGGGAUAGGAAAACUGCAUCUAUUCUGAUCUGUUCUGUAUCUGAGAAUAAUCCAGCUUACUAUCUGUCUGAGCUGUUUUGAUCUAUUAAACUAAAUGAUUUACCUUUUAGAUCUGACUUCAAACUCGAAUUUGGGACUUUACUAGGUCUAACAUAAAUCUUUUUGAACUUAUAAUUAUUUCUUUAUAAUAUCAUAAUUUAUUUUUUCUAUUGAUUGCACUACAGGUAACCCACAGACUUGAUCGGGUCGGCAGAUCAGGAGCUCAAUCAUACUAUUUAUC